rnacentral:rRNA from 1 species
AGAGUUUGAUCCUGGCUCAGGAUGAACGCUGGCGGCGUGCCUAAUACAUGCAAGUCGAGCGAACGGACGAGAAGCUUGCUUCUCUGAUGUUAGCGGCGGACGGGUGAGUAACACGUGGAUAACCUACCUAUAAGACUGGGAUAACUUCGGGAAACCGGAGCUAAUACCGGAUAAUAUUUUGAACCGCAUGGUUCAAAAGUGAAAGACGGUCUUGCUGUCACUUAUAGAUGGAUCCGCGCUGCAUUAGCUAGUUGGUAAGGUAACGGCUUACCAAGGCAACGAUGCAUAGCCGACCUGAGAGGGUGAUCGGCCACACUGGAACUGAGACACGGUCCAGACUCCUACGGGAGGCAGCAGUAGGGAAUCUUCCGCAAUGGGCGAAAGCCUGACGGAGCAACGCCGCGUGAGUGAUGAAGGUCUUCGGAUCGUAAAACUCUGUUAUUAGGGAAGAACAUAUGUGUAAGUAACUGUGCACAUCUUGACGGUACCUAAUCAGAAAGCCACGGCUAACUACGUGCCAGCAGCCGCGGUAAUACGUAGGUGGCAAGCGUUAUCCGGAAUUAUUGGGCGUAAAGCGCGCGUAGGCGGUUUUUUAAGUCUGAUGUGAAAGCCCACGGCUCAACCGUGGAGGGUCAUUGGAAACUGGAAAACUUGAGUGCAGAAGAGGAAAGUGGAAUUCCAUGUGUAGCGGUGAAAUGCGCAGAGAUAUGGAGGAACACCAGUGGCGAAGGCGACUUUCUGGUCUGUAACUGACGCUGAUGUGCGAAAGCGUGGGGAUCAAACAGGAUUAGAUACCCUGGUAGUCCACGCCGUAAACGAUGAGUGCUAAGUGUUAGGGGGUUUCCGCCCUUAGUGCUGGCAGCUAACGCAUUAAGCACUCCGCCUGGGGAGUAACGACCGCAAGGUUGAAACUCAAAGGAAUUGACGGGGACCCGCACAAGCGGUGGAGCAUGUGGUUUAAUUCGAAGCAACGCGAAGAACCUUACCAAAUCUUGACAUCCUUUGACAACUCUAGAGAUAGAGCCUUCCCCUUCGGGGGACAAAGUGACAGGUGGUGCAUGGUUGUCGUCAGCUCGUGUCGUGAGAUGUUUGGGUUAAGUCCCGCAACGAGCGCAACCCUUAAGCUUAGUUGCCAUCAUUAAGUUGGGCACUCUAAGUUGACUGCCGGUGACAAACCGGAGGAAGGUGGGGAUGACGUCAAAUCAUCAUGCCCCUUAUGAUUUGGGCUACACACGUGCUACAAUGGACAAUACAAAGGGCAGCGAAACCGCGAGGUCAAGCAAAUCCAUAAAGUUGUUCUCAGUUCGGAUUGUAGUCUGCAACUCGACUACAUGAAGCUGGAAUCGCUAGUAAUCGUAGAUCAGCAUGCUACGGUGAAUACGUUCCCGGGUCUUGUACACACCGCCCGUCACACCACGAGAGUUUGUAACACCCGAAGCCGGUGGAGUAACCUUUUAGGAGCUAGCCGUCGAAGGUGGGACAAAUGAUUGGGGUGAAGUCGUAACAAGGUAGCCGUAUCGGAAGGUGCGGCUG